UGAGUGAUUGCAUCACAGUUUUGUAACUUUCAUUUUACUUAUAGAAUUUGUCUUUUGUUUUUUUUUUUCCCCCUUGUAAGCUUUGAUGAACUAAGCCAUCAUAUGCAGAGUUACACAGUGCAAACAACUAAGGGUGGCAUCUUGCUGAAAGAUAGCAAGGAGCUAAUGCCCUCAGUCUGACAGCCCACCAGUAACUGAAUCACACCAAUACCCAUGUGAAAUAGGAAGCAGAUUCUUCCCCAGUUGAACCUGAAAUCAAAUCUGAGUCCUGGACUGCAUAGCAAUUGAAGUAUUGUAAGAGACCCUAAAGGAACAUGGAGAUAUUCCCUUGUUUACAUCUAUGGUUAAUGUCGUGUUGCAGUGGCAGAGAUGAGAGUCCCUACACUGGGUUUGUUUCUUGAGAUGGCUGUCUACUGCAGCUGCAGACAUCAACCAAUGGUAUGUAUCAAGUAAUUUAACUUUUUCUUGCAAUGCAAUGACUUUUCUCAGCUUAUUGGGAAAACCUCCAGCAUCACUAGUGACAUUUUAUGUGGGUCCCAUGAUGUUAUUUAAGAUUUAAGGUAUUUCACUAAAUGUGAUUUAUAUGGUGAGAACUCUGUGAGAUCACUUUUUACCAUUAUACACAAAUUCACUGGAGAAACAAGAGAUAGUAUCAUACAGCACUUUAAGUGUCUAUUUGCAACUUUUGAGCUUAUUGC